GACGAACGCUGGCGGCGUGCCUAAUACAUGCAAGUCGAACGCUGAAGAGAGGAGCUUACUCUUCUUGGAUGAGUUGCGAACGGGUGAGUAACGCGUAGGUAACCUGCCUUGUAGCGGGGGAUAACUAUUGGAAACGAUAGCUAAUACCGCAUAACAAUGGAUGACACAUGUCAUUUAUUUGAAAGGGGCAAUUGCUCCACUACAAGAUGGACCUGCGUUGUAUUAGCUAGUAGGUGAGGUAAUGGCUCACCUAGGCGACGAUACAUAGCCGACCUGAGAGGGUGAUCGGCCACACUGGGACUGGGACACCGGCCAGACUCCCACGGGAGGCAGCAGUAGGGAAUCUUCGGCAAUGGGGGCAACCCUGACCGAGCAACGCCGCGUGAGUGAAGAAGGUUUUCGGAUCGUAAAGCUCUGUUGUAAGUCAAGAACGGGUGUGAGAGUGGAAAGUUCACACUGUGACGGUAGCUUAACAGAAAGGGACGGCUAACUACGUG
rnacentral:rRNA from 1 species